CUCUUCCCCAAAUUCAAUUCCCCUAAACCCCCCGUCUCCACACUACUCUCCCCUCCUCCGUCUGAAAUCAGCGCCGCCCCUCCCUCUCCCACCGUGAAUCCCUCCCUUCGUUUGUCUAUUGCAGCUCCACACCAUCCUCUCCCCUCUCCCGCGGCGAUUACUCUGGCCCCAAAUCGGCACCGUUGCCCUUCCUUCCUGUCUCCGCGUAGCAAUUUCUCCCUCUCUUCCACCGCGAUUCGCGUCACCGCCGCUGCCGCAAUCACCAGAGGUCUGCUCCGAUCUGCCUCCCACUCCACCAAUUUCUUCGUUCUGCCUCCCGCAGCGAUUCGCUUCGCAGCACUCAGGCCCCAAGUCGGCGCCGCCUCAACCACCAUUCUCUGACCCGACCAUGGGAUGGGUCAUAUCCAACGCCAAUGGCUACCCGGCCGCAUCUAUGCGCCGUCGACCACCGUAUUGACCCCUUGCUCUAACAUGCCCUCUCUUCAAAUCCCUUUCAGCGCCAGUUUAUCGCCGCCUCCUCUAUGGUAAUUGAGUUGAGGCCAAUGUCAGUGCUCUCACUAAUUUUGAAGUGCUUGACCUUUUGAGAUCAAGAGGUGCUGGAAGGGAUGCGUCUUGAGCUAUUGCAACCGUAUCUCAAUCUGAGUUCAAGGUUUUUGAUUAUCUAGAGGGGACUAUUGCUUGCAAUCAAACAAGUAAAAUUAUUGGUAACUUCGUUGAAGAGUGCCAAAAAUUUGACCUGGCCAAGGCAAAGAUUCUUAAUAUAAGACCAAGAAGUGGGCCUAAGCUUUUCCCGGAAUUCUAGCUGGAGACAAAGAGAUUGCUCCAAAUUUCGCAGCAGGGGGCCUAGCAGUUGGAGGAUGCUCUAUGGUCUGGAUAUGAACUCUGACAAAGGAAUUUUGCUUGCUGCAGAUAAUUUUGGGCUUCUCUAUAUGAUGUCGACGCCGAGAAGCAGCAGAGCCCUUACCUCUCAAGCCUCAGCGAGUAUUCGACGGGUAGUGAGUGACGGGUAUCCGACGGGUAGCGGGUGACGGAUGCCCGAUGGGUCGCGGGUAUGAGUGGCAAAUAGUAGUGGAUGGCAAAUAAUUUUUUCAAAUAUAUGUUUCGCUAAGUCAUGUUAAGGAUGAAAGUCAUCUUUAACUUAUUAUUUCAUUUUAGUUCGAUGUGUAACGUAGACUUAUAUCAUAUUAACAGUUUUUUUUAGUGAAUAAUCUCCAUAAUUUAUAAAUAUAUUAAAAUAAUAAUUUUUACA